rnacentral:rRNA from 1 species
GAUGAACGCUGGCGGCGUGCCUAAUACAUGCAAGUCGAGCGAAUGGAUUAAGAGCUUGCUCUUAUGAAGUUAGCGGCGGACGGGUGAGUAACACGUGGGUAACCUGCCCAUAAGACUGGGAUAACUCCGGGAAACCGGGGCUAAUACCGGAUAACAUUUUGAACCGCAUGGUUCGAAAUUGAAAGGCGGCUUCGGCUGUCACUUAUGGAUGGACCCGCGUCGCAUUAGCUAGUUGGUGAGGUAACGGCUCACCAAGGCAACGAUGCGUGGCCGACCUGGGAGGGGGAGCGGCCACACUGGGACAGAGACAAGGCCCAGACUCCUACGGGAGGCAGCAGUAGGGAAUCUUCCGCAAUGGACGAAAGUCUGACGGAGCAACGCCGAGUGAGUGAUGAAGGCUUUCGGGUCGUAAAACUCUGUUGUUAGGGAAGAACAAGUGCUAGUUGAAUAAGCUGGCACCUUGACGGUACCUAACCAGAAAGCCACGGCUAACUACGUGCCAGCCGCCGCGGUAA